ensembl:lncRNA
UUGGCCUGUAUGCAUAUUCUAUGCUCCAGCAUUAAAGCACAGUGUGCUGAAGUGACAAACAGAGACAUCUCUUAAAUGUCAUGCCAGGCCAUUCACCCCUCCAUGCCAUCGUCCAUCCAUCCUCAUCUCUCUAAGCUUUUUUUAUUGCAGCUGCUAAUGUAGCAGCCAGAGCAGAAACAAAGCUAGCUUUGUGACCCCCUACCCCCUCCUCACUGUCUGCUGACGCGUUCGCUUGUUCUCCAUGUCAUCCCCUAGCCCUUGUUCCCUUUCCAAUCUUUCACUAAAAACUUCUUUUCUUCCUUUUAUAAUCCCCCCUUUUUCUCUUCACAUCUGCAGCAGCAUCACGCGGCCUGGCGUGGCCGGCCUCGAGAGUCAUGUGAUCUCCGGGGUGGCUUUUGCCUGGGAGAAGAAAAGCUUUUUGGCCUCCAGUCUGACCUAAAUAUCUCUCUUCAAAGACUGACCGUGACUUUGAUUAAAGAUGCACAGAUGUGGCUAGCAAAACCAAACAUC